rnacentral:rRNA from 1 species
UCGGAUUGCAGGCUGCAACCCGCCUGUAUGAAGUUGGAAUCGCUAGUAAUCGCGGAUCAGCAUGCCGCGGUGAAUACGUUCCCGGGCCUUGUACACACCGCCCGUCACACCAUGAGAGUCGGGAACACCCGAAGUCCGUAGUCUAACUUUUACGAGAGGACGCGGCCGAAGGUGGGUUCGAUAAUUGGGGUGAAGUCGUAACAAGGUAUC